rnacentral:lncRNA from 1 species
CUUAAUUCCACUUCCACCUGUGCCACUUCCAUGUCUCUGCUCUCCUUUAUAAUACAGUUCUUAGAUUGGUCUGGUGCUCUCUCCAGUUCUGUCCCCCCACUGGGACUUGUUCCAGCACUCCACCAAAAUUCCUCUGAUCCAGUGAUUUCCACAUUGCUACACAGAAUAGCUCUUCCUUUUCAUCAGAUUUGAUCUACUAGCAGCAUUGAAAACAACCCAUCACUCUGUUUUGAGGAUUUUGACACCAUGGUCCCCCGAUAGACUUGCCCAGGUGGCUUUGCUUUGCCCAGUUGAAUGUGAGCAGAAGUGAUGAGUAUCACUUCCAAGCAAAAGUGUAAGAGCCAGUGUGGUGGCUGCUUCUGUCCUUCCCCUUUGCUGCAAGAAGAACAGCAAUGCCCCAUAGACAGGUUGGCCUGAGUUUCAGAGGGAAGGCUCCAUGUUACAUAACUGCAGCCCAUCUGCACUGUCCGCGGAACUGGAGUGCAAAACAAACCUUUAUCAUUGUAAGCCACUAACGUUUGGGGUUGUUACGAAAGCAUAACACCACCUAAGCGGCUUCAACACUCCCACAAGUUUAAGAGGAAAAGGAGUUUAUUAAAGGACACCAGAUGGCUCACAGGAUCUCCAAGAAGGCCUCGGUGACUCCAAAGCCAGGAAUGAUGUCCAAAUCUCACUGAGGGACUGCACCAGCGCAGGUGCGCACUGCUGCCUCCUCUGAGUACAUAUUUAGUAAGUCACACCAGUGUUGGAGCCCAGAAUCUUGACCACUGCUGUCUCUGGAAACUGGACACCUCUGCCACUAACCUUGGCAGUAGAUGGCCUUUGGGAGCCCUCCACGUCUUCAGGUUGCCCUCUUCUGGAUUGAAGUCGCUGGCAGAGCUGAGUUUACCUGCCUGUGCUCUUGCUAUCAAAGAGGCUGGAAAAGCAAAUUUCUUGUUUCUACUUUGGCGAGUUAGGAGUCAAACAGGAGGAAUUACCAAGACAUAGGGAGGAGGUUCAGAAGUUAGUGAAUGACCAUGAAGCAUGAAAGACGUCCACGACCUGCUGGAGACCUGAGGAUGGAGCGGACACCAAGGGAUCCCAGCUGAGCAAUAGAGCAGCUGGGUGCCAUGACUUACGCCCCGGCCCCAGUCAUGCAUAUACCAUUGACUCUUCAGUUAUUUGAGGAAACCAUUCCUAGCUUUGCUUAAGCCAGCUGGAAUGGGCUUACUGACACUUGCAAUGGAAAGAGUCCUAAUGAUCUGUGUCUCAAAUGGAUGAGCGUUGGCACAGUGGCUAACGGUGGUGCCCUGGCUCGGAUGCCUGAAAGUUUUGGUUGUUCUCAGUCCCCAGUAAGUGGGGAUGAGGCUGACAGUUAUGGGAAUGGCCGCUUCUGGUAGGGUAGGUGUAUUAAUCUGUUCUCACGCUGCUAAUAAAGACAAACCCCAGACUGGGCAAUUUAUAAAGGAAAGAGGUUUAGUGGACUCACAGUUCCAGUGGCUGAGGAGGCCUCACAAUCAUGGCGGAGGAUGAAGGAGGAGCAAAGGGACGUCUUACAUGCUGGCAGGCAAGAGAGAAAUGAGAGCCAGGCAAAAGGGGAAGCCAAAACCAUCAGAUCUCAUGAGACUUAUUCACUCUCAUGAGAACAGCAUGGGAAAGACCUGCCCCAUGAUUCGAUUGCCUCCCCUCCGGGUCCCUCCCACGACACGUGGGAAUUGUGGGAGCUACAAUUCAAGAUGAGAUUUGGGUUGCAGCACAGCCAAACCGUAUCACCUGGGUUGUGGUUUCCCUGUCUGCUGGGGAGCCAGUAGUUCUCAUGUACAGCAGGGCGCUUGCUCACGUGUGGCACAGUAACCAGGCCAGGUACAAUUAUACAGUGGGCAACAUGUCUGUGUCAGAUAGUGCUAGUUGCUUAUCUACUAGCAGAUAUUGAGGAAAAGAGGAAUAUCCGUUCCUCUUUUCCUCAAUAAGACAAGUAAAAACGCACAGUUGUACAGUGCUUGCUGUGUAUUAGGGACUAUUCUAAGUGCUUCACUCGUAUUAACUCAUUGAAUCCUCAUGAGAACCCUGUACUAUUAUCAUAGUUUGCAGGUGAGGAAAUCGAGGCACAGAGUAAGUUGGUAACUUGACCAAGUCACACAGUGACAUAAAGAAGCAAGGUUCUAAGCCCAGACCAUCUGGCUCCGUGGGCUGUGCUUAGCCUCUGCACUAUAGUGCCUGAUUUUGUUUGCUUUGGUGAUGUGUCUGGCUAAAACAGCUUCAUUUCCUUGAAAGGAGGUAGACCCAUUUGGUAUCCCCCCUUUUGCCCAUAGUUCAUCUCUUUCUGCCUGGAACGUGAGUGUGGUGCUAGAAGGAGGGCAUCACUUUCUGUCGUGAUUACUAUUUUGCACCCAUGAGUUGACAAUUGGGAAGAAGAAAGCUGCAUGGCUUGGCCUAAAGAAGGAAGGUGCCUGGGUCCCAGCCCCAGAUUCCC